UCAAAGGAAAAACUUCAAGAUUUGUCGCACACGAAGUAUUGCUGCUCCCGUGCUUUAUUCCCACACCAAACAAAUAAACAGCGUUUCCCCUCAUGUAGGAGGCUUCAUCAGGCUUCAGGAUUACAGAUAUUUUAACCAUAGACUUACUUACUGUUUUGACUUUACAGAUACAUUUUAAUUUCCAUCAUGUUUUCAGUUCACUCUCAUGGUGUAAAACCAGCAAAGGAAACAUGAACAUACCCAACAUGUCAAAGUGUUUCCAGCCACUAACAUUCAAUUUAACUUUAAGUUAUGUCAUUGUGCAUGUUUCUUACAGUUAUGUUAUUGUUAAUGAUUUAAUGUUAGAGGCUUUGAGGAUGUCUCUGGUGGCGUCACGUUUUCUGUGUAAAACUCAAAAACAAAUCAUUUGUAAAUAUUGAAAGCAACAAUGUUCCAGCAGUUUGGGUGGAGUUGCUCCACUCUGAGGACGCUGCAGGCGGAGCCUCCAUGGACGUGCUCUGCAGGGUGUUUGUUAAAAGAAGCUUUUGACCA